UACGGGGGGAGCAAGCGUUGUUCGGAUUUACUGGGCGUAAAGGGCGCGUAGGCGGCCGCCCCAGUCACUUGUGAAAUCUCCGGGCUCAACCCGGAGCGGCCAAGUGAUACUGGGCGGCUAGAGUGCGGAAGGGGCCAUCGGAAUUCUCGGUGUAGCGGUGAAAUGCGUAGAUAUCGAGAGGAACACCUGCGGCGAAGGCGGGUGGCUGGGCCGACACUGACGCUGAGGCGCGAAAGCCAGGGGAGCGAACGGG
rnacentral:rRNA from 1 species